AAUAAACGUUAGGUUUCUGUGUCCAAUAUUUGACCGUCCGUCUUAUUUGAAAAAAUUAUAGAAAGAAAUAAAAAAGACAAGUCACACAUAAAGUAUUAAUCAUGUUUUAUCAUCUAACAAUAAUAAAAAUACUAAUUAUAAAAAAAUUUCAUAUAAGACAGACAGUUAAAUGUUGAACACGGAAACCCAGUGUUUGUCUUUUU
rfam:Oryza sativa Japonica Group DNA, chromosome 4, cultivar: Nipponbare, complete sequence.